rnacentral:rRNA from 1 species
CCGACCGGCGCACGGGUGAGCAACACGUAUGCAACCUGGCCGCCACAGGGGGAUAACCCGCGGAAACGCGGCCUAAUACCCCGUGACGCCACCGGAGGGCAUCCUCCGGUGGCCAAAGGAGCGAUCCGGUGGCGGAUGGGCAUGCGGCGCAUUAGCUAGACGGCGGGGUGACGGCCCACCGUGGCGACGAUGCGUAGGGGUUCUGAGAGGAAGGCCCCCCACACUGGGACUGAGACACGGCCCAGACUCCUACGGGAGGCAGCAG